AAAGUCGUAACAAGGUUUCCGUAGGUGAACCUGCGGAAGGAUCAUUAAUGAUUUUGCGAACCGAGCGUCUGCGAGGUUCUGCGAUCACUUGUAUUUAAAACCCACACUUUUUUGAACGUAUAAAAUUUUUUUUGUAUGAUAAAAAUUAAAGAUCACUUUCAACAACGGAUCUCUUGGCUCUC
rnacentral:misc_RNA from 1 species